rnacentral:rRNA from 1 species
UGGGGAAUAUUGCACAAUGGGCGAAAGCCUGAUGCAGCGACGCCGCGUGAGGGAUGACGGCCUUCGGGUUGUAAACCUCUUUCAGUAGGGACGAAGCGCAAGUGACGGUACCUACAGAAGAAGCACCGGCCAACUACGUGCCAGCAGCCGCGGUAAUACGUAGGGUGCGAGCGUUGUCCGGAUUUACUGGGCGUAAAGAGCUCGUAGGCGGUUUGUCACGUCGUCUGUGAAAACCCGAGGCUUAACCUCGGGCCUGCAGGCGAUACGGGCAGACUUGAGUACUGUAGUGGAGACUGGAAUUCCUGGUGUAGCGGUGGAAUGAGCAGAUAUCAGGAGGAGCACCGGUGGCGAAGGCGGGUCUCUGGGCAGUAACUGACGCUGAGGAGCGAAAGCGUGGGUAGCGAACAGG